GAAUCAAAUUAGAAUUUUCAAAUCUAGUAUCAAAAAAAGAAUAUGUUCAUUUCAAUUAAAGUAAGUUCUGGACUUAAGUCAACUUCUACUGUUUUAAAAGGCUGAUUUUAGUUAUUAAUAUUCUAUUUUAAUAUCUGAACACAAGUUUCAGGAUGACUAAUCCAUUUUCAUAAAUAUGGUAAAGGAUUUAGUCAGACAAAUGUUUUUAUUAGCAGGUAUAAUAAAGAAAAGGACACACAAUAGGACUUUGUGUUCUAAAUUCAGAAUUACGAGUGGUCUGUGAAAAAAAACUGGGAAAAACUACAGGGGAGGAGGCUACCUUUAGGACCAGUAAGCCCGCACUGUUUCUCAACACCAUGGACUCUAGCCCUCUGCCCUUUCUUCCACGAAAAGCCAUGCUCUGGGCUUUCUUAUAACUCCUUGCAGCCCUCAUGAUGUGAAAGAAAUCUUUUUAAAAUGUACAUCUAACUGUUCUUACAAUGUAUGGAAUCUAUGGAUUAGCAAUUAUGAUCCUCAGAAUAACGCUUUCGUAUUCCGUACUGAAGCAGAAACUGCAAGGGAAGGUCGGCUAAUUAACAGGCAUUUAGCAGACCUUAUGGAAAAAUUGAUUUGGUGUUACUUGUAAAAAAAUAAAUAGCUAGAUAAAUAGAUCACUAGAUAAAUACAUAAAGAACCAACCAAAACAUGCUGUUGAUGUUCUUAGAGGGAAAUGAUUAUGCAAAUAAACACAUUCAAUUUUUUAAAGAUAAAAUGCAGAGAUAGUAAUUUGAAAUAACUUCCAUGGGAGUAGACGCUUUGAUCCCUUGAGAAGCUGGACAAUCUUAUGACAUGUAUUCUCCCCAGAAGUGUGAGCUACGUGCCUUGGGUGAUGUCACCAGUGACUAGUAACCAUUGCAGUGUAAACAAACAUCAGCAGGAAAUAAAUGUGGGUAGGGCAAGGGUCUAGAAACAUGCCUUCCUUCUAGAAAAGUAUCGUGCCUUCCAAUGCCAGUGGUUUGGUUUUUUUGUUUGUUUGUUUGUUUUUUUAACGGAAGAGAGGGGAUGGAGUUUAGCUCUUGCCUUCUGUCACGGAAACCUUUAGUUUCAUAGGCAGUGUCUUUCCUUGACAAAUGGAUUUCCCCCUUGGCAGUCUCUGCAACACUGAGAGGUAAGGGACUCUUUGCUGUUGCUGCAGUUAUUGGUUGCUCUCCCCAGACAAGCUUGUCUGUGGAUUUGCUAAGAGCAGAGUUUCGAGUUACCAGAAUUAGGCAAGCCCGCUGAGAAGCAGAAGGAGGAGGAGGAGCGGCGGCAGGAGCCGGAGCCCGAGCCAAAGCGCCCUGAAGCGCUACGGCAGCAGCUCCGCUGAUUGGCUGGAGGGUCCGGCCGCUUCCCGGGAACAAAAGGUCAAAGUGGACUGCAGCGUCAAUGUAGGGAGGCAGCCGAGAAGAGAGCGUUGCUUGAAGAAGUCUGGCGGCCGGAGCCGCAGCACGCGGGCUAACUGCAGGGUCAGCUGCCGCUCCAGCUGUGAGGCUCAGCCUCACGCCCCGAGCCCAGCACCGCCAACGCCGCCGCCGCCACCGUGAGGAGACGUUUCCUGCACGGACGGCCAAGGUGGCGUGGACGAGCCAGUUGUGAGGGUCCCUGGCAAAUUCAUCUACAAGGAUGGCCUGUGAAAUCAUGCCUCUGCAAAGAUUUGCCUCAUCUGGACAGUGCAUUAUAACCCUUGGGCAGCUUGUCACAAAGCCAGAUGUGGAAACUGCUUUUACUUCUCACAUAAGUUCCUUGACUGAGCAGAAAGUCCAGGGCUGCCUGGCCCGGGUGCCCCUGCCUGGCACGUCCCUGCCACGUCCACAGGGCUGAGCUCCCUGCGUGCCAACUCCUGCCUUCACACGGUGUCUUCUCUUUGUUAAAGAGUUCCCUGUCCAUUCCCUUCCUCCUAAUAAUGCCUCCAUGACCCUCAAAACCCAUUCCCAGUGUCACUCAUGUCACCUAGCCUGCCAGACUGCGAGGGGCUUGAGCGUGAGGUCUGGAGCUCUGGCUGCCACACACUUGGAUUUGAAUCUCAGCCCUGCCUGCCUCUGUGGCCUCCCACUGGUGAAUUACCCUUUCCAAGACUUGUUUUUCUUAUCUGAGAAAAUCCAGUUAGUGAUACCUCUCUCCAAGGGUGUCUUUGAGGAUCGACUGAGGAAAUGUCUAUGAAGCUCUUAGCCCAAAGCCUUGACUUACUAUGGUGAGCCCUCAACACAUGGUAGCUGUGUAUCCUUUUUUCAUAGUCAUUAUCAUAUUUCAAGUUUCUGUUUCUCCCUGGUCUAUAAAUUCUGUAAGGAUUUAGACCAUAUCUUAUUAGCCUGAGCAGCACCCCUCAUUGGCUCUGAUGCAUAGUAGCCACUCAAAAAAUACUGAAUGAGCCCUUGUAUCUGGCAGAGGAAGGGUUUG